rnacentral:rRNA from 1 species
GAUGAACGCUGGCAGUAUGCUUUACACAUGCAAGUCGUACGGGAGUUUUUAACUCAAGUGGCGGACGGGUGAGUAACACGUAAGAAUUUACCUUUAGGAGGGGAUAACAACUGGAAACGGUUGCUAAUACCCCAUAUGCUUUCGAGUGAAAUGGAAUUUUCCGCCUAGAGAGAAGCUUGCGGCUGAUUAGCUUGUUGGUGUGGUAAUGGCUCACCAAGGCGACGAUCAGUAUCUGGUUUGAGAGGACGAUCAGACACACUGGAACUGAGACACGGUCCAGACUCCUACGGGAGGCAGCAGUGGGGAAUAUUGCGCAAUGGGGGAAACCCUGACGCAGCGACGCCAUGUGAGGGACGAAGGCUUUCGGGUCGUAAACCUCUGUCAGGAGGGAAGAAACUGUUUGAUGCUAAUACCAUCUUUCACUGACGGUA